GGUACAUACAGGGUGUUCGAAAAAUAGACGGAGAUACAUCAACGGGUGAUUCCUUGUAAAAAAAUAUGAAAAAAAGUUUCUAUAAACAUCGGUUCGGAAAUGCACAGUUUUCAAUAUACAGGGUGAUAAUUUUUUUAAUUAAUUAUUUUUCUAGGGGAACUAAUACUUGUCAAUGUCAAACCUCCAUGCAGAAAUGAUUUUUUGUUAUCCAAGACACCUGUGAUUGUUUUAUUAAAAAUUAAUAAACCAAUUUUGUCCAGUGGCAUGCAAUAAAACGGUAUUUAUUUUAUUUGUCAAAAACGAAAAAAAUACAAGAUGCAAAAAAGUUGUAUUUUUAAAUGCUUAAUUAACUUGACACAACAUAUUACAGUUGGAAAAAAGGCAGUGACGUAUAUUUUUUUGCCAAUAACAUUUGCUAAGAUGUCCCACGGGACGCCACUGGACCUUAUAAUUUUAAUCUAAUUAGGGCUAAAUUAGCCUCUUAAUACAACAAGUAAUACUGCCAAAUUUCAAAAGAAUCAAGUAAAUUUUUUUUUAUAUUAAUAAAAAAAUAAUAUUUAUCACCCUUUAUCUUAAAAACUGGGCAUUUCCGGACCCAUGUUUAUAGAAACUUUUUGUCAUAUUUUUUUACAAGGAAUCACCCGUUGAUGUAUCUCCGUCUAUUUUUCGAACACCCUGUAUGUACCUUUAGCCUACAUCUACGAACUCCUACCCAAAAAUUAAUUUUAACAAAAAACUCACAGGCAAAGCCUUAAAGUAAGAAAGCCCAUGGAUCACAGAUUCCUCAAUUACCCAUUUGCAUUGUCUGCUGAGGGGGAAAUGUAUUUUUGCAUAGUGAAUACUAAACGCGACGUAACUUUUUUAUAUUCAAGUUGGGUCGAAAUCUUGUGAGUAGAGCGGAAUAGAAAAGAACGCUAUCGUUUUCUUUUUGACUUAAGAUUUAAUAUUACAAAUUAAUACAUCCGCACCCAAGACAUGAGUUGGCCAGACCUGAAUAUGUAUACGUGGCAACGAAUUCGUUGUAACUACAUGACUGCUACCAACAAAUAUCAGUGCUGAAUGAACCUGCCGACGUACAUCCGUGAAGAAUUACGAAAAUCUAACCAUUUCAAUCUUAGGUAGUUUCUUAGGUUUUCUUAGGUAGUUUCUUGAUUGACGAAUAAAAUUAGUAAAGGGGGUAAAAUUAAUAAAAUUUUAACUGAUGCGUAAAAAAGUUGGUAAUUUUAAUAACAUUUUGUCAACAUGUCUCUUAUUAGCCAUAUGAUUUUUUUUGUUUCAUGAAGCAAAUCAAUGUCGAUGUCAUCAAAAACCGUCAAAUAGAACUUAAUGUCAUCUGCAAACAUAAAAACCUUCAAUGCAAAACAAAUCAUUAAUGAAUAGCCAAACAGCCUAGGAGAGCAGUUUCCUCCUUAAGCCGCGUAUCCACCUGACAAACGGAACGUUUAGAAACAUUUGCAAUCAUUUACAAACACGAUGUUUUGGUCACUCACAUUUGCAAACGUUUGCAGGCGUUUGUCACUGUUCCGCGAAAAGUCGGUAACUUCAAAGGAUUUGACUUGUUUGUGGAUUUCUGGCUGAUUUCAGUGGAGACGCGAUAUUCUACGUUUGUAGAUAAAUAGAUAUUUACCUAGCUCGCUAAUGCUUUCAUGAUGGCGGCACAUACUUCAGGAAUUAUUCUAGAAAUGAGCUGCUUCGAAACUCUGAAGAGGUACAUAAGACUGGCAUAGGAAUCUCCUGUCGCUAGAAAGCAAAGUGUGAUGGCCAGUCUAAUUUCGGCAGAGACGCACUCUCGAUAGUUCGUGUCAAUUUUAGAUAUUUCUGGAGAAAUUCUUGAGAGCAAGAAAUCAAAAUCUCUUGGCAAAACUCGAGUAAAAUUUUCGAAUAAGCUACUCCUGUCAGUUUUGAUAUCAGAAAUCGGCUGCAUAGAAACUCUAGUUUUUAAAAAAUGAGACACCCAAAAUCUACGUUUCCUUCUUUUUUUCUUCUUUUCUUUUUCUAUUAGUGCACAAAAUACUAAUGCAGCACAGGCGGCAAGUUUCUUUCUACUUAACGGGGCAAUUUUUACAAUUUUUCCAUUCUCGGUUUUCCUCAAAAUAAAAAAAAGACCUGGAUACGCGACAAACGCUCUCAAAACUGUUUUGUGAACAAUUUCAAACAACAUUGUGCUGAUCGGUGGGUACUUCAUUUUGCAAGCGUUUAUCAAUAUUCGCAAACAUUUACAAAUGUUGCUACAAAUGUUAAUGCCAGUGGAUAUGCGGCUUUACUGACUCUCAUCUUUUACCUUUAAUAAAGCCGUAAAGCCACCUUAACAGUAUGUCAGAAAAAAUCUUCCACGGCUUCUCAAUCAAUAGUCCGUGACUUACUUGACUAAGUGCACUUAUCAGGGCCUCUUUUAGGUGAUGAAAGGCUUGGGACUCUUGGGAUUUUCGUUCUCCUUCUAGGGGCUUGGUAAAUGGUUUUGCGAUUUUGGCAAAUCCUUCCACAUAGAAUCGAUAAUAAGUGCAUAAUAUCAAGACGUUGCAUAGCUUAUGCUUGUCUUUAGAAACUGAUCAACCUUGGAUAGUCUGGACAUUUGCCUUUUUAACAGCAACUCCUUGACUGGAAACGACGUGAUCCAGAUACUGCACAGCUCUUUGAAACAGAUGCUAUUUCUUUGGGCUCAACUUUAAUCCAGGAUCUCGUAGCUUCAGGAAUACUUCUGCAAGAUUUUUCAUGUGUGGUCCCGAAAUGAUUUUCCUACCACAACAAGGUAAACCUGCACAACAAUUGCUGUUCAACGAUAAUUUCCUUAAUAUUCCAGUUGGAAUAUAGAACUUAUAUAAUUCCAUACACCUGGUCUAUACAGUGUGACUCUGUAACUUGAGAUAAAUUUAGUAGUUCAUAUACUUUUUUUCUCAAAAAAAUCCUCGGACCCCUCGAUUAGUAUUGUUAGUUAUACUACUCGUAUAUAAAUUAAUAUAUAGUGUGUCCCAAAACUAAAAUACGUAUUAUAAUGUUAUUUAUGAUUUUUUUUAAUGGCUUUUAUUGCUUCUAAAGAGCAUAUCGAUUUAUUCGUUUUUUAUGACUUACAAAUUCCAAGAUAAUUGAAAUACCUUCUUUUCAAGAAAAGCAAAAAUUUACUCAAAACGUUUUCCCUUUAUAAGUUUUCAAAAUGUAGCCAAUUUACUAUUUGGCAAUGCCCUAAACGUCCUUAAAAUUCGUUUAUAAUAAUCCCUGGAAAAAUUAAUCUACACUCAUGCCUUAUUCUGGUUAAUAACUCCUCAAUGUUUGCGGGCUUGGACACAUAAACUUUGGAUUUUAAAUAGGAAAUAAUAUAGGAAACAAUCCAAAGGAGUUAGAUCGGGAGAUCUUGGUGGCCAUUCAAAAGAUCUUCUUCUACCAAUCCAUCUGCCUGAAACUAAGGAAUCCAGGGAAAUAUAGUAUCCAGGUACUUUCGAACAGGAUGUGUAAAAUGGGAAGGCGCACCAUCUUGUUGAAACCUAAUGUUCCUAUUUGGCAUAUCAGCUUCUAUUUAAUCAGGAAAUAAAGCAGCUAGAUUUGGAAUUAGUCGUUCUUAUAAAAACUGUAAAUCUAUUGCUCUAUUUAGGUUUUUUUUUAAAGAAAAUUUGGUCUAUAACUUGUUUGCCUACAAUUCCUGCCCAAACAUUUACCUUCUCUAGGUGUUCAGUAUGGCCUUGCCUCAUCCAACAUGGAUUUCCUUGUGCCCAAUAACGGCAAUUUUGUUGAUUUACUACUCCGUUCAGCAUAAAUGUUGAUUCAACAGAAAAGAGAAUAUUUUAUGUUUUAACAAUAUUAUUCUGUAGUAGUUUCAUAAAUUGUUCGCAAAAUUUGAUUUUUCUUCUUGCAACUACAAGAUUUGUAUGCACUAACCGACAUUUUUGGUCAUAACUUGGAAACUUAAGUAAGAUUUUUUCAAAUUUUUUUUGCAACACUAUACUAUGAUUCCUAAGGACGGAUUUGAGGGUAAAAACAUCAGCUUAAGUUAAAAAUUGAGGUAGCUAGGGCUAUUUUGGUUGGGGCAGUUUUUAUUGCUAUUUUUUUUACCAAAUUCUAACUUUCCUUAGAAAUAUCUUAAGAAGCAGUAGGAAUAUUCUAAAAAGGGUUUUGGUGCAAAAAAGCGCAUUUCCCACCAAACAAUUUCAUAUGAGAACGAUUAUUGUACCUCAAAAACUUGUUGAGUUAGAGACAAGUUUGUCCACCAAGGUCCUGGAUCCACCUAAUUUGAAGUUUUUAGUACCAUAUUGAAAUUCAAGAUUUUUAUGCAUUAGCCGACAUUUUUGGUCAUAACUUGGAAACCACUUAAGAUAUUCUCAUAAUUUUUUCGCAGCACUAUACUGCGAUUCCUGCGGAUGGACUUGAGGGUAAAAACAUCAGUCUAGGUUAGAAAUUGAGGUAGCUAGAACUGUUUUGGUUGGGGCACUUUGUUCACCAAAUUCUAACUUUCCUAGGGAAUAUCUUAAGAAGUAGUAGCAUGAUAUUUAUGUAUGCAAUAAUAUUUUUGAUUUUUUGUGUUAUUAGAUUACACCAAGGCUCUCAACACUUUGAAUUUAGGAAUGAGGCUUUCACAGUUAGAGCAAUUCUGGUGGUGCCCAAAUAAUGUAUGGAAUGCCCUACUACUGACUCUCUCUAUAUUAUUAUUAAAAAAAUUACUAUAUACUCUAAAAUCUGUUGAUUUCUGUAUCAUUUACUGCUCUCAGAGAACUUCAGCCUGUUUUAUGCUUCAACUCUAUUAGUGAAAAUGCACAGUCAAGAGUCAAGGAAAAUAGUGACAGCAAAAAAAUAAAAAAACAACACUGAUGAUUCUUCUUUAUUUUUCUGCACCCUCUUAAUUGAGUUCCUGGAGGAUUGUGAGUUUAAAGGGAUGAAUUUCUGUGCCUUCAGAAUCCUUACUAGUGAAGACUGACUCAAUUGCAAUUCGUGCACCAGUUGUCUAGUGGAAAUGUGACUAUUUUGUCGAAUCUGAUUUUCAUUUUUGCUUACAGUACCUUGCAAUAUCGGUGGUAAAUUAGAAUGCAUGUUUCUGAAUAAGUCUAUAACCUCAUUUUGAGGCCUUGUUCUAUGUCCAUAUCCAAUCAUCAUCAAUGCAUUUAAAUUUAAAAAAAAGUAUUUAAUUCUAAUUAUUUGACUUUUGAUGAUCAAUUAAAAAGUAAAAAAGACUUUACACUCAAGACAUUCUUUUAACAAUGUUAAAAUUUACUAUUGCACGUCACUUUAUGCUCGUAGUAAUGACAUCACUAUAUUGGACUUACUGCCUGGACAACGUCAAUUUAUCCCUCAAUCAUUCCAUUAUAAUUUAAAAAAAUAACAAUCAAAGGAGUUAAAUUAAAGAACCGCACUGUAUAAAAUCCAAAUAUUGCAAUAGUUUUAAGUUUAAAUAAAAUAAUGAAUCAGACCCGCUAUUGCAAAAAUCCUGUAAUAGCAAAACGCAGCUUUUAUAUUAUUACACUUACUAAUUAUUGAUGUAAAACAGGCAAGCAAAAUUAUAUGAUGUAAAAUAAAUUAUAAACGGAUAUCAUUUUAUAGGUGUUACAUUUAUUAGCUUAGACUUUGUAAUAUACAGGAACUUACUACGAUACGUGACUGAUUUUUAUAGUAUUAUUAAAAAUGUAAAAUGUAAGUAUGGAUAAGUAAUAAUAUAUGCGGAGUCUAUUAUGUGUA